rnacentral:rRNA from 1 species
UACGUAGGGUGCGAGCGUUGUCCGGAAUUAUUGGGCGUAAAGAGCUCGUAGGCGGUGUGUCGCGUCGGCCGUGGAAAACCUGGGGCUCAACUCUGGGCGUGCGGUCGAUACGGGCAUCACUGGAGUCCGGGUAGGGGAGUGUGGAAUCCCGGUGUAGCGGUGAAAUGCGCAGAGAUCGGGAGGACACCCGUAGCGAAGGCGGCACUCUGGGCCGUGACUGACGCUGAGGAGCGAAAGCGUGGGGAGCAAACAGGG